rnacentral:ncRNA from 1 species
CCCCGAGGAGCGCUGCAACGGGGUCUGUCGACCGGCGCAAUGCCGGUGCGCAGGCACCUCGCCAGGCUCGGGUUACCGGGGUCGUAACAAACGGCGCUCGUUCU